rnacentral:rRNA from 1 species
GACGAACGCUGGCGGCGUGCUUAACACAUGCAAGUCGGACGGAAAGGCCCUGCUUUUGUGGGGUGCUCGAGUGGCGAACGGGUGAGUAACACGUGAGUAACCUGCCCUUGACUUUGGGAUAACUUCAGGAAACUGGGGCUAAUACCGGAUAGGAGCUCCUGCUGCAUGGUGGGGGUUGGAAAGUUUCGGCGGUUGGGGAUGGACUCGCGGCUUAUCAGCUUGUUGGUGGGGUAGUGGCUUACCAAGGCUUUGACGGGUAGCCGGCCUGAGAGGGUGACCGGCCACAUUGGGACUGAGAUACGGCCCAGACUCAUACGGGAGGCAGCAGUGGGGAAUAUUGAACAAAGGGCGGAAGCCUGAUGCAGCAACGCCGCGUGCGGGAGGACGGCCUUCGGGUUGUAAACCGCUUUCGCCUGUGACGAAGCGUGAGUGACGGUAAUGGGGAAAGAAGCACCGGCAAACUACGU